rnacentral:rRNA from 1 species
GAUGAACGCUAGCGGCAGGCUUAAUACAUGCAAGUCGUGGGGCAGCACAGUGUAGCAAUACAUGGGUGGCGACCGGCAAACGGGUGCGUAACACGUACGCAACCUUCCUUUAGGCGGGGAAUAGCCCAGAGAAAUUUUGGGAUUAAAUACCCCCAUAAAAUUUUGUAGAUGGCAUCAUCUUAUUAUUAAAGCUUCGGCACCUGAAGAUGGGCGUGCGGCUGAUUAGGUAGUUGGCGGGGUAACGGCCCACCAAGCCUUCGAUCAGUAGCUGAUGUGAGAGCAUGAUCAGCCACACGGGCACUGAGACACGGGCCCGACUCCUACGGGAGGCAGCAGUAAGGAAUAUUGGUCAAUGGGCGAAAGCCUGAACCAGCCAUGCCGCGUGGAGGAUGAAGGUCCUCUGGAUUGUAAAACUUCUUUUAUCUGGGGACGAAAAAAGGGUUUUCUAACUCGUCUGACGGUACCAGAUGAAUAAGCACCGGCUAACUCCGUGCCAGC